rnacentral:rRNA from 1 species
AUUGAACGCUGGCGGCAUGCCUUACACAUGCAAGUCGAACGGCAGCACGGGAGCAAUCCUGGUGGCGAGUGGCGAACGGGUGAGUAAAGUAUCGGAACGUGCCCAGUCGUGGGGGAUAACGUAGCGAACGUUACGCUAAUACCGCAUACGAUCUAUGGAUGAAAGCGGGGGACCGCAAGACCUCGCGCGAUUGGAGCGGCCGAUAUCAGAUUAGGUAGUUGGUGGGGUAAAGGCUCACCAAGCCGACGAUCUGUAGCUGGUCUGAGAGGACGACCAGCCACACUGGGACUGAGACACGGCCCAGACUCCUACGGGAGGCAGCAGUGGGGAAUUUUGGACAAUGGGCGCAAGCCUGAUCCAGCCAUGCCGCGUGCAGGAUGAAGGCCUUCGGGUUGUAAACUGCUUUUGUACGGAACGAAAAGGUUUGACUUAAUACGUUGGACUCAUGACGGUACCGUAAGAAUAAGCACCGGCUAACUACGCGCCAGCCGCCGCGGUAA